rnacentral:tRNA from 1 species
GCCUGGCUGGCUCAGGCAGUAGAGUAUGAGACUCUUGAUCUUGGGGUUGUGAGUUUGAAUCCCAUGUUGGGUG